rnacentral:lncRNA from 1 species
GGAAAAGAAGUGUCACAAACUUGCACAAAGGUAAGGUCACAAAAAACCCUAAUUGGAAACUAGUCCUCUAGUCUAGGUGCUAACAAGAAAAGACAAAAGAGAAGGGACAUGGUGAAUAAAUAAGAGACAAACACGAACAAUAUAAUCAACUUAAACAUGUCUCUAUGCAUACUAAGAUUCAAUAAAAAAUUGAGUUCAAGAGCAUAAGCAUUAAAGUAAACAAACAUUCAUUCAAGUCAACAAGAGAAGUCAAU